UACGUAGGGACCAAGCGUUGUUCGGAUUUACUGGGCGUAAAGGGCGCGUAGGCGGCAUGACAAGUCACUUGUGAAAUCCCCGGGCUUAACCUGGGAAUGGCAGGCGAAACUGCAGAUCUUGAGUGCUUGAGAGGUUGGCGGAAUUGCAGGUGUAGAAGUGAAAUGCGUAGAGAUCGGGAGGAACACCAGUGGCGAAGGCGGCCAUCUGGAUCAACACUGACGCUGAGGCACGAAAGCGUGGGGAGCAAACAGG
rnacentral:rRNA from 1 species